rnacentral:rRNA from 1 species
GGGAGGAAAAGAAACUAACAAGGAUUUUCUUAGUAGCGGCGAGCGAAAAGAAAAUAGUUCAGCACUAAGUCACUUUGUCUUAAUGGCAAAUGUGAGAUGCAGUGUAUGGAAUGUCAAAUUUCUAGUAUGAGAAAUUAACGAUUUAAGUCCUUCUUAAAUGAGGCCAUUUACCCAAAGAGGGUGCCAGGCCCGUAUAACGUUAAUGAUUACUAGAUGGCAUUUCCAAAGAGUCGUGUUGCUUGAUAGUGCAGCACUAAGUGGGUGGUAAACUCCAUCUAAAACUAAAUAUAACCAUGAGACCGAUAGUAAACAAGUACCGUGAGGGAAAGUUGAAAAGAACUCUGAAUAGAGAGUUAAAUAGUACGUGAAACUGCUUAGAGGUUAAGCCCGAUGAACCUGAAUAUCCGUUAUGGAAAAUUCAUCAUUAUGAUUUUAAUAUUUAUAAUAUUAUAAUAAUGGUGUGCAUUUUUUCUAUAAAGGACAUUGUAAUCUAUUAACAUCAAAUAUUUAUCAUAAGAUCAAUUAUGCGAAAGUUUAUUUAAAUUAUUUUGCUUGCAAUUUAACAUAGAAUAAACGCUGUUGAUUUGAUAAAGUGUUGAUAGAUUUAUUAUAUAUAGUGCUUAAAUAUUUAUAUUUUAUAAUAGCAUAUUAAUCAUUGAUUUUUAUGUUUAUUAUAUGCACUUAUAUGAUUAACAAUGCGAAAGAUUCAGGAUACCUUCGGGACCCGUCUUGAAACACGGACCAAGGAGUCUAACAUAUUUGCAAGUUAUUGGGAAUUAAAACCUAAUAGCGAAAUUAACAUAACUUAUUUAAUGGGAUUAGUUUUUAGCCUAUUUAUAGUCUAUUAAUUCAAUCCCGGGGCGUUCUAUAUAGUUAUGUAUAAUAAUAUUUAUAUUAUUUAUACCUCUAACUAGAGCGUACCUUGAGCAUAUAUGCUGUGACCCGAAAGAUGGUGAACUAUACUUGAUCAGGUUGAAGUCAGGGGAAACCCUGAUGGAAGACCGAAACAG